rnacentral:rRNA from 1 species
CCCUUAGAUGUUCUGGGCUGCACGCGCGCUACACUGAAGCGUUCAACGAGUAUUCACCUUGCCCGGGAGGGUUGGGUAAUCUUUUGAAAACGCUUCGUGAUGGGGAUAGAUUAUUGCAAUUAUUAAUCUUCAACGAGGAAUUCCUAGUAAGCGCGAGUCAUCAGCUCGUGCUGAUUACGUCCCUGCCCUUUGUACACACCGCCCGUCGCUCCUACCGAUUUAGUGAUCCGGUGAAUAAUUCGGACUGCAGCACUGCUUGGUCUCCAGGCUUUGCAGCGGAAAGUUUAGUGAACCUUAUCACUUAGAGGAAGGAGAANUCGUAACA